rnacentral:rRNA from 1 species
GACGAACGCUGGCGGCAUGCCUAAUACAUGCAAGUCGAGCGAACAGAUGAAGUGCUUGCACUUCUGACGUUAGCGGCGAACGGGUGAGUAACACGUAAGGAAUCUACCUAUAAGCGGGGGAUAACAUUCGGAAACGGGUGCUAAUACCGCAUAAUAUCUUCUUCCGCAUGGAAGAAGAUUGAAAGACGGCUCUGCUGUCACUUAUAGAUGACCUUGCGGUGCAUUAGUUAGUUGGUGGGGUAACGGCCUACCAAGACGAUGAUGCAUAGCCGGCCUGAGAGGGUGAUCGGCCACAUUGGGACUAAGACACGGCCCAAACUCCUACGGGAUGCAGCAGUAGGGAAUCUUCCGCAAGGGGCGAAAGCCUGACGGAGCAAUGCCGCGUGAGUGAAGAAGGCCUUCGGGUCGUAAAACUCUGUUAUAAGAGAAGAACAAAUUGUAGAGUAACUGCUACAGUCUUGACGGUAUCUUAUCAGAAAGCCACGGCUAACUACGUGCCAGCAGCCGCGUAA